GUCCCGCUGGUGCACGGUCCACAUCCGCCCUUCAUUCGUAAAUAAGGCAUUUUUAAGCGGAAGAACCCCGUUCGACUCGGGGGCGGGACA